GGGUUGUGAGGUUAAGCGACUAAGCGUACACGGUGGAUGCCCUGGCAGUCAGAGGCGAUGAAGGACGUGCUAAUCUGCGAUAAGCGUCGGUAAGGUGAUAUGAACCGUUAUAACCGGCGAUUUCCGAAUGGGGAAACCCAGUGUGAUUCGUCACACUAUCAUUAACUGAAUCCAUAGGUUAAUGAGGCGAACCGGGGGAACUGAAACAUCUAAGUACCCCGAGGAAAAGAAAUCAACCGAGAUUCCCCCAGUAGCGGCGAGCGAACGGGGAGGAGCCCAGAGCCUGAAUCAGUGUGUGUGUUAGUGGAAGCGUCUGGAAAGGCGCGCGAUACAGGGUGACAGCCCCGUACACAAAAAUGCACAUGCUGUGAGCUCGAUGAGUAGGGCGGGACACGUGGUAUCCUGUCUGAAUAUGGGGGGACCAUCCUCCAAGGCUAAAUACUCCUGACUGACCGAUAGUGAACCAGUACCGUGAGGGAAAGGCGAAAAGAACCCCGGCGAGGGGAGUGAAAAAGAACCUGAAACCGUGUACGUACAAGCAGUGGGAGCACAGAGCAAUCUGUGUGACUGCGUACCUUUUGUAUAAUGGGUCAGCGACUUAUAUUCUGUAGCAAGGUUAACCGAAUAGGGGAGCCGAAGGGAAACCGAGUCUUAACCGGGCGUUAAGUUGCAGGGUAUAGACCCGAAACCCGGUGAUCUAGCCAUGGGCAGGUUGAAGGUUGGGUAACACUAACUGGAGGACCGAACCGACUAAUGUUGAAAAAUUAGCGGAUGACUUGUGGCUGGGGGUGAAAGGCCAAUCAAACCGGGAGAUAGCUGGUUCUCCCCGAAAGCUAUUUAGGUAGCGCCUCGUGAAUUCAUCUCCGGGGGUAGAGCACUGUUUCGGCAAGGGGGUCAUCCCGACUUACCAACCCGAUGCAAACUGCGAAUACCGGAGAAUGUUAUCACGGGAGACACACGGCGGGUGCUAACGUCCGUCGUGAAGAGGGAAACAACCCAGACCGCCAGCUAAGGUCCCAAAGUCAUGGUUAAGUGGGAAACGAUGUGGGAAGGCCCAGACAGCCAGGAUGUUGGCUUAGAAGCAGCCAUCAUUUAAAGAAAGCGUAAUAGCUCACUGGUCGAGUCGGCCUGCGCGGAAGAUGUAACGGGGCUAAACCAUGCACCGAAGCUGCGGCAGCGACACUGUGUGUUGUUGGGUAGGGGAGCGUUCUGUAAGCCUGUGAAGGUGUGCUGUGAGGUAUGCUGGAGGUAUCAGAAGUGCGAAUGCUGACAUAAGUAACGAUAAAGCGGGUGAAAAGCCCGCUCGCCGGAAGACCAAGGGUUCCUGUCCAACGUUAAUCGGGGCAGGGUGAGUCGACCCCUAAGGCGAGGCCGAAAGGCGUAGUCGAUGGGAAACAGGUUAAUAUUCCUGUACUUGGUGUUACUGCGAAGGGGGGACGGAGAAGGCUAUGUUGGCCGGGCGACGGUUGUCCCGGUUUAAGCGUGUAGGCUGGUUUUCCAGGCAAAUCCGGAAAAUCAAGGCUGAGGCGUGAUGACGAGGCACUACGGUGCUGAAGCAACAAAUGCCCUGCUUCCAGGAAAAGCCUCUAAGCAUCAGGUAACAUCAAAUCGUACCCCAAACCGACACAGGUGGUCAGGUAGAGAAUACCAAGGCGCUUGAGAGAACUCGGGUGAAGGAACUAGGCAAAAUGGUGCCGUAACUUCGGGAGAAGGCACGCUGAUAUGUAGGUGAAGUCCCUCGCGGAUGGAGCUGAAAUCAGUCGAAGAUACCAGCUGGCUGCAACUGUUUAUUAAAAACACAGCACUGUGCAAACACGAAAGUGGACGUAUACGGUGUGACGCCUGCCCGGUGCCGGAAGGUUAAUUGAUGGGGUCAGCGCAAGCGAAGCUCUUGAUCGAAGCCCCGGUAAACGGCGGCCGUAACUAUAACGGUCCUAAGGUAGCGAAAUUCCUUGUCGGGUAAGUUCCGACCUGCACGAAUGGCGUAAUGAUGGCCAGGCUGUCUCCACCCGAGACUCAGUGAAAUUGAACUCGCUGUGAAGAUGCAGUGUACCCGCGGCAAGACGGAAAGACCCCGUGAACCUUUACUAUAGCUUGACACUGAACAUUGAGCCUUGAUGUGUAGGAUAGGUGGGAGGCUUUGAAGUGUGGACGCCAGUCUGCAUGGAGCCGACCUUGAAAUACCACCCUUUAAUGUUUGAUGUUCUAACGUGGACCCGUGAUCCGGGUUGCGGACAGUGUCUGGUGGGUAGUUUGACUGGGGCGGUCUCCUCCUAAAGAGUAACGGAGGAGCACGAAGGUUGGCUAAUCCUGGUCGGACAUCAGGAGGUUAGUGCAAUGGCAUAAGCCAGCUUGACUGCGAGCGUGACGGCGCGAGCAGGUGCGAAAGCAGGUCAUAGUGAUCCGGUGGUUCUGAAUGGAAGGGCCAUCGCUCAACGGAUAAAAGGUACUCCGGGGAUAACAGGCUGAUACCGCCCAAGAGUUCAUAUCGACGGCGGUGUUUGGCACCUCGAUGUCGGCUCAUCACAUCCUGGGGCUGAAGUAGGUCCCAAGGGUAUGGCUGUUCGCCAUUUAAAGUGGUACGCGAGCUGGGUUUAGAACGUCGUGAGACAGUUCGGUCCCUAUCUGCCGUGGGCGCUGGAGAACUGAGGGGGGCUGCUCCUAGUACGAGAGGACCGGAGUGGACGCAUCACUGGUGUUCGGGUUGUCAUGCCAAUGGCACUGCCCGGUAGCUAAAUGCGGAAGAGAUAAGUGCUGAAAGCAUCUAAGCACGAAACUUGCCCCGAGAUGAGUUCUCCCUGACCCUUUAAGGGUCCUGAAGGAACGUUGAAGACGACGACGUUGAUAGGCCGGGUGUGUAAGCGCAGCGAUGCGUUGAGCUAACCGGUACUAAUGAACCGUGAGGCUUAACCUUACAACGCCGAAGGUGUUU
rnacentral:rRNA from 1 species